CGCUGCUGCGUGCUGGUUUUGUAACUGCGUCACUUGACUACUUCGUUUAAUCACACGUUUAGGCUACUCUUUCAGAAAAAACCGAUCAAUCGAGGUUCACAAUUCCUUUUACAGGGAUAAAAUAUUCAUCAGUGAAAUGUCGAGCAGAGACGAUAUAAGUAGAAAAA